UUACUUGGAUAACUGUGGUAAUUCUAGAGCUAAUACAUGCAAACAGAGCUCCGACCGGAGACGGAAGGAGCGCUUUUAUUAGAUCAAAACCAAUCGGUGGCGGGUUCGCUCGUCAUCGUAUAACUUGGUGACUCUGAAUAACUUUAAGCUGAUCGCACGGUCUUGCACCGGCGACGCAUCUUUCAAAUGUCUGCCUUAUCAACUGUCGAUGGUAGGUUCUGCGCCUACCAUGGUUGUAACGGGUAACGGGGAAUCAGGGUUCGAUUCCGGAGAGGGAGCCUGAGAAACGGCUACCACAUCCAAGGAAGGCAGCAGGCGCGCAAAUUACCCACUCCCGGCACGGGGAGGUAGUGACGAAAAAUAACGAUACGGGACUCAUCCGAGGCCCCGUAAUCGGAAUGAGUACACUCUAAACCCUUUAACGAGGAUCAAUUGGAGGGCAAGUCUGGUGCCAGCAGCCGCGGUAAUUCCAGCUCCAAUAGCGUAUAUUAAAGUUGUUGCGGUUAAAAAGCUCGUAGUCGAAUCUGUGUCCCGCGCCGCCGGUUCAUCGUCCGCGGUGUCAACUGGCGUGUCGCGGGACGUCCUGCCGGUGGGCUUAGCUCGCAAGGGCGGCCCAACUCAAUCCCACCGUGGUGCUCUUUACUGAGUGUCGGGGUGGGCCGGCACGUUUACUUUGAACAAAUUAGAGUGCUUAAAGCAGGCUAAAACUUCGCCUGAAUACUGUGUGCAUGGAAUAAUGGAAUAGGACCUCGGUUCUAUUUUGUUGGUUUUCGGAACCCCGAGGUAAUGAUUAAUAGG
rnacentral:rRNA from 1 species